rnacentral:rRNA from 1 species
CCCUUAGAGUUUGAUCAUGGCUCAGGACGAACGCUGGCGGCGGGCUUAACACAUGCAAGUCGAAGGAGAAGGUAGGAGCUUGCUUUUACUGGAGACUGGCGGACGGGUGAGUAACGCGUAGAUAACCUGCCUAUAGCUGGGGGAUAACACUGCGAAAGUGGUGCUAAUACCGCAUAAUGCAGCGGGGCCGCAUGGCCAUAGUUGUUAAAGGUUUCGACCGGCUAUAGAUGGGUCUGCGUGCUAUUAGUUAGUUGGUAGGGUAACGGCCUACCAAGGCGAUGAUAGCUAGGGGGUCUGAGAGGAUGAUCCCCCACACUGGGACUGAGACACGGCCCAGACUCCUACGGGAGGCAGCAGUGAGGAAUCUUGCGCAAUGGGCGAAAGCCUGACGCAGCCACGCCGCGUGCCGGAUGAAGGCCCUAUGGGUUGUAAACGGCUUUUACUAGGGAAGAACGAGAGGGUUUCGAUCUUCUGUGACGGUACCUAGUGAAUAAGCACCGGCUAACUCCGUGCCAGCAGCCGCGGUAAUACGGAGGGUGCAAGCGUUGUCCGGAAUCAUUGGGUGUAAAGGGUACGUAGGCGGGAGCCUAAGUCUGGGGUGAAAUCUUGCCGCUUAACGGUAAAAUGGCCCUGGAUACUGGGUUUCUUGAGUGCAGAAGAGGCAGGUGGAAUUCGUGGUGUAGCGGUGAAAUGCUUAGAUAUCACGAAGAACAUCAGUG